rnacentral:lncRNA from 1 species
AACCACCAAACAGACUUUACAUCACAUCUCAACCUUUUUCCAUAAAACAAGGGUCCAUGUUUUAAGGAGAAGUACAAGUCUAGUCAAAGACUUUUAAGUCUUGAAAUUUGAAUUGAAAAAGGAGCUCCAAAGACUAGUUUGUAUUACCCUAAAUUGAACAAUUUCCACCAAAGUCCAAAUUGUGAAUUAAAAUUUGUCAAGAACCAAACCACUAGUGGACUGCCA